rnacentral:rRNA from 3 species
GGUGGGCCCGCGGCCUAUCAGCUAGUCGGUGGGGUCACGGCCUACCGAGGCGAUGACGGGUAGCUGGUCUGAGAGGACGACCAGCCACACGGGGACUGAGACACGGCCCCGACUCCUACGGGAGGCAGCAGUGAGGAAUCUUCCGCAAUGGGCGAAAGCCUGACGGAGCGACGCCGCGUGUGGGAUGAAGUCUUUCGGGAUGUAAACCACUGUCGGAGGGGAAGACAUCGACGGUACCCUCCAAGAAAGCCCCGGCUAACUACGUGCCAGCAGCCGCGGUAAUACGUAGGGGGCAAGCGUUAUCCAGAUUUACUGGGCGUAAAGCGCGUGUAGGCGGCUGGUUAGGUGUGAUGUGAAAUCUUCCGGCUCAACCGGAAAACUGCAUUGCAAACCGGCCUGGCUAGAGUGCAGGAGAGGGAAGCGGAAUUCCAGGUGUAGCGGUGAAAUGCGUAGAUAUCUGGAGG